rnacentral:lncRNA from 1 species
CUCGGUGACGCUGAUUUCGAGUCUCGAUCAUGGCAGGAACGUCCAAAAGUUGCAUUGGCUGCCUACGCACGUGGUCAUAUGUCGGUUGGACCUUGACCGGCCUUAUCAUCUUAUCUGUUUUUUCUGCAGUAUCUGUGGCUGAAAGCCACAACCACGACGAUGUAAUUGCAGCGAACGUUACAUCUGGAUCCAUCCUCGAUGAAUAUAGAAACCACUCCAUAGAUCAGCUACUUUCCUUGAGACACCCCUUGUUUUAUGAAUACAACUUUGAUCCGGAGCACCUCGAGGAGCGCCUCAUUGCAGCUGCCCUUCGUACUAAAACUCCGCCUGAGCAGUACAAAUAUGAGCUCAAACUACUGAUCGGAUCCGUCGGGACGAAUCGUCAAGAUUUUCCAAAGCGAGACCUCAUGAAGAAGUACGACAUCCAUUUCUCCUUGCCUAAUAACAUCGAUCCUGAUGACGAAUUAUUACCGUUUCCCGACAUGAUCACGUUUGAAAGAUUAGUUCUCAUGUUUCCUCAGUAUUUCAGAUUCGACCUGAUAGGGUUAGAUGUUCAACACUUUAACCCUCAAUGUCAAAUGUUGAAUGAAAUACUUCCUAAAAUCAUUAAGUAUCCAGAAUUUGCAGGUCUCAUUCCUUCUCCUAAUAGAGAAAGAGGCUUUAGUACUUAUAAAAUAAAUAAGUUGAUCAGAGGGUAUCUUCAGUGGCAAUUGUGUAACGUCGUUGGGGCUGAAAUAUCAGAGGAUUAUUUAAAAGAUUUAGCAGCUAUCGGUAAGAAACGAAUUAAACUCAGUCGAGUGCCGAAUGACUUGAGGAUUAAGUUUUUGAAGGAAAAAGGUUUAUUCACGAACUAUAAAGUAUUCGCUGACUCCUCAGAUUGGCUCAGAAAUGGGGCUGCUCCUACUGUUAAUUUCCCCUCUAAUGUCAUUGAAAUAGCCAAUAAAUUGGUCAUGAUUGAAAAGUGCACUUGCUGA